UGUGCCUACAAUAAGUCAGAGCGCGUUAAUGCGUGAUGGCGUGCCUUUUGUAGAAUGAACCGGCGAGUUAUGAUCCCGUGCAAGGUUAAGACUAAAAAGUCGGAGCCGUAGCGAAAGCGAGUCUGAAAUGGGCGUUUUGAGUACGAGGUUAUAGACCCGAAACCAGGUGACCUAUCCAUGUCCAGGUUGAAGGUGCGGUAAAACGCACUGGAGGACCGAACCCGUGUAAGUUGAAAAUUGCUGGGAUGAGGUGUGGAUAGCGGUGAAAUUCCAAACGAACUUGGAGAUAGCUGGUUCUCUCCGAAAUAGCUUUAGGGCUAGCCUCGGAAUUAGGAUCAUGGAGGUAGAGCACUAUUUGGACUAGGGGCCCGUCUUGGGUUACUGAAUUCAGAUAAACUCCGAAUGCCAUUGAUUCAUAUCCGGGAGUCAGACGAUGAGUGAUAAGAUCCACCGUCGAAAGGGGAACAGCCCAGACCAUCAGUUAAGGUCCCUAAAUGUAUGCUAAGUGGAAAAGGAUGUGGAGUUGCAUAGACAACUAGGAUGUUGGCUCAGAAGCAGCCACCAUUUAAAGAGUGCGUAAUAGCUCACUAGUCGAGUGAUCCUGCGCCGAAAAUGUACCGGGGCUAAGCAUACUACCGAAACCAUGGAUGCGACCAUUAGGUCGCGUGAUAGGAGAGCGU
rnacentral:rRNA from 2 species